AUUGAACGCUGGCGGCAUGCCUUACACAUGCAAGUCGAACGGCAGCACGGACUUCGGUCUGGUGGCGAGUGGCGAACGGGUGAGUAAUAUAUCGGAACGUACCUUUCAGUGGGGGAUAACGUAGCGAAAGUUACGCUAAUACCGCAUAUUCUGUGAGCAGGAAAGCAGGGGAUCUUCGGACCUUGCGCUGAUUGAGCGGCCGAUAUCAGAUUAGCUAGUUGGUGAGGUAAAGGCUCACCAAGGCGACGAUCUGUAGCGGGUCUGAGAGGAUGAUCCGCCACACUGGAACUGAGACACGGUCCAGACUCCUACGGGAGGCAGCAGUGGGGAAUUUUGGACAAUGGGGGCAACCCUGAUCCAGCCAUGCCGCGUGAGUGAAGAAGGCCUUCGGGUUGUAAAGCUCUUUCGGCCGGGAAGAAAUCGCGCAGGCUAAUAUCCUGUGUGGAUGACGGUACCGAAAUAAGAAGCACCGGCUAACUACGUGCCAGCAGCCGCAGUAAAAC
rnacentral:rRNA from 1 species